rnacentral:rRNA from 1 species
UACGGAGGGUGCGAGCGUUGUCCGGAAUCACUGGGCGUAAAGGGCGCGUAGGUGGCCCGGUCAGUCCGUGGUGAAAGCGCGGGGCUCAACCCCGCGUCGGCCAUGGAUACUGCUGGGCUGGAGCACUGUAGAGGCAGGCGGAAUUCCGGGUGUAGCGGUGGAAUGCGUAGAGAUCCGGAAGAACACCGGUGGCGAAGGCGGCCUGCUGGGCAGUUGCUGACACUGAGGCGCGACAGCGUGGGGAGCAAACAGG